rnacentral:lncRNA from 1 species
CACCUAACUAGUCAAAGAACAGAGUUACAAGAGACAUGCUGAUUCAACAAAUGGAGAUGAGUAAACUGAAUCAUAGAGAGCUUAGGUGACUUGAAAGAGACUUGACUGCUGAGCAGGGAGACCAUCUGUAGCCACCUCCCUGUCACAAGGAAGCCUGCACAUAGAGACCUCCCAUAGAGACGAAAUAUGUCUACAAAAGGGUCACUGCCCUUGCAAGGAAAAUGUGAUCCCAGCACGGCCUGGCGUGUUCCUGGCGGCAGAAAGGACUCCUGCCAGGACAGGAGGAGAAGUUGCGGCUGGGACGAGGAGAGGGUGGGAAGCCCUACAGAUGCCCCAAGCCCACUGAUGCCACAGGAGGGGAAGGGAGGAGGCUGCUGUGCUUUCUGUGUACCUUGUUCUCUGCCCAGAAGGGUCAGCACAGCCAGGCAGCCCCGAAAUGCAGUGGAGGCUAAAGAAAGGAGGGCCCUCUGUCCUAGAGAAGGCUCAGUAGGCUCCCGAGGAAAGGGAAGGAGCAACCUUUUCCAUUUGACUUCAGGUAGGAGGGAGAAAGUGUACAGAAUCAAAAUGUGUGGCACCUGCGAUUCAGUUGGCUCAUUUCUGAAAAAAUCAGGGUAGAUUAGGCGCCCAAUGCACCAUAAGCGUUAUGUGUGUUUGUAAACACACACGGGGCUGUACACAGGGGUAGGGGUCUUAGAGAGGAAAGUAAAAAGGGAAAAGAAGGAAAGUAGCAGAGACUAGUUUACACAUAAAAGUACAUAAAUAAGUUUACUUAUGAAGACCAUGGUUUCCCACAAACAGUCCCGUCUUGGUAGCAGAAUGGGACAAACUGUCACA